CCUACGGGUGGCUGCAGUGGGGAAUAUUGGACAAUGGGGGAAACCCUGAUCCAGCAAUGCCGCGUGUGUGAAGAAGGCCUGCGGGUUGUAAAGCACUUUCGGUGGGAAAGAAAAGCGUAGGGUGAAUACCCCUGCGUCUUGACGUUACCCACAGAAGAAGCACCGGCUAACUCCGUGCCAGCAGCCGCGGUAAUACGGAGGGUGCGAGCGUUAAUCGGAAUCACUGGGCGUAAAGCGCACGUAGGCGGUCGAGUCAGUCUGCUGUGAAAGCCCUG
rnacentral:rRNA from 1 species